AGAGUUUGAUCCUGGCUCAGAACGAACGCUGGCGGCAGGCCUCAAACAUGCAAGUCUAGGGGGUGUAGCAAUACAUCACCGGCGGACGGGUGCGUAACACGUGGGAAUAUACCUUUUGGUUCGGAACAACUGAGGGAAACUUCAGCUAAUACCGAAUGUGUCCUUGCGGAGAAAGAUUUAUCGCCAAAGGAUUAGCCCGCGUUCGAUUAGCUAGUUGGUAGGGUAACGGCCUACCAAGGCGACGAUCGAUAGCUGUUCUGAGAGGAAGAUCAGCCACACUGGGACUGAGACACGGCCCAGACUCCUACGGGAGGCAGCAGUUGGGAAUCUUGGACAAUGGGGGAAACCCUGAUCCAGCCAUGCCGCGUGAGUGAUGAAGGCCUUCGGGUUGUAAAACUCUUUCGACGGGGACGAUAAUGACGGUACCCGUAGAAGAAGCUCCGGCUAACUUCGUGCCAGCAGCCGCGGUAAUACGAAGGGGGCUAGCGUUGUUCGGAAUUACUGGGCGUAAAGCGCGCGCAGGCGGUCUUCCAAGUCAGUGGUGAAAGCCCGGAGCUCAACUCCGGAACUGCCAUUGAAACUGUUAGACUUGAGGACGAGAGAGGUGAGUGGAAUUCCCAGUGUAGAGGUGAAAUUCGUAGAUAUUGGGAAGAACACCGGUGGCGAAGGCGGCUCACUGGCUCGUUUCUGACGCUCAGGCGCGACAGCGUGGGGAUCAAACAGGAUUAGAUACCCUAGUAGUCC
rnacentral:rRNA from 1 species